rnacentral:rRNA from 1 species
UACAGAGGCCACGAGCGUUAAUCGGAAUCACUGGGCUUAAAGGGUGCGUAGGCGGGCUCGUAAGCGUCUUGUGAAAGCCCCCGGCUCAACCGGGGAACUGCAGGGCGAACUACGAGUCUUGAGGUAGGUAAGGGCUGUUAGAACAGUAGGUGGAGCGGUGAAAUGCGUAGAGAUCUACUGGAAUGCCGAUGGAGAAGUCGAGCAGCUGGGCCUUACCUGACGCUGAGGCACGAAAGCGUGGGGAGCAAACAGG